rnacentral:rRNA from 1 species
UUGAUGGAGAGUUUGAUCCUGGCUCAGGACUAACGCUGGCGGCGUGCCUAACACAUGCAAGUCGAGCGGAGCGAAAGACUUCGGUUUUUCGUCGAGCGGCGGACGGGUGAGUAACGCGUGG